rfam:Lupinus angustifolius cultivar Tanjil contig_19565, whole genome shotgun sequence.
GUCAAUAUGUCCGAGUGGUUAAGGAGAUAGACUUGAAAUCUAUUGGGCUUCGACCGCGCAGGUUCGAACCCUGCUGUUGACG